rnacentral:rRNA from 1 species
AACGGCCGUACCAUGCAGAAUAUACCGGUUCUCGUUAGAUCACCGAAGUCAAGCAUCAUUGGGCGCGGUCAGUACUUGGGUGGGUGACCACCUUGGAACGCCGCGUGCCGUU